UUUUUAAAUGAUGUUAUAAUAACCGCCCCAGUCUGAAUUCUAUGACUGAUUGGUAAAUUUCUGAUAGAAU